rnacentral:rRNA from 1 species
CCUACGGGCGGCAGCAGUGGGGAAUAUUGGACAAUGGGCGAAAGCCUGAUCCAGCCAUGCCGCGUGUGUGAAGAAGGCCUUCGGGUUGUAAAGCACUUUCAGUGGGGAAGAAAGCCUUGGGGCUAAUACCCUCGAGGAAGGACAUCACCCACAGAAGAAGCACCGGCUAACUCCGUGCCAGCAGCCGCGGUAAUACGGAGGGUGCGAGCGUUAAUCGGAAUUACUGGGCGUAAAGCGCGCGUAGGCGGUCUGAUAAGCCGGUUGUGAAAGCCCCGGGCUCAACCUGGGAACGGCAUCCGGAACUGUCAGGCUAGAGUGCAGGAGAGGAAGGUAGAAUUCCCGGUGUAGCGGUGAAAUGCGUAGAGAUCGGGAGGAAUACCAGUGGCGAAGGCGGUCUUCUGGACUGACACUGACGCUGAGGUGCGAAAGCGUGGGUAGCAAACAGGAUUAGAUCCCCGAGUAGUC